CAUUUUGAUUUGUUACAAUGUGAUUAUUGUCAUUAUUAGCUGUCUGUAGCAUUUCAUUUAAUUAAUUGCGCCUGAGUGGGGUGUGUUUGUGUAGACUUUUCCUUUAAAAGCAAAUACAGAAUUGAACUCUGUACAAUUUUAAAGUGUGUGUGUGUGAGAAUGCAUUCAUACGUGUUUGUGUGUGCAUGUGUUCGCAUGCAUCUGUUUUCUCUCACACACACACACACACACACACACAAUCCAUUUUCAUUGCUGCAGUAAUAACAUCUGCCAGGCUGGAGAUAAUACAUCUAAGUCAGAUCAAUACUAUCCUGUUAUGAGCACUGAAAUACUGCGAUGAAGGACGGACCUGCUACUCAAUACAAUACUAUACUAUCCUGUUAUGAGUACUGAAAUACUGUGAUGAAGGACGGACCUGCUACUCAAUACAAUACAUUACUAUUCUGUUAUGAGCACUGAAAUACUGCGAUGAAGAAUGGACCUGCUACUCAAUACAAUACUAUCCUGUUAUGAGUACUGAAAUAGUGUCUGAUGAAGGAUGGACCUGUUACACAAUACAAUACUAUACUGUUAUGAGCACUGAAAUACUGUGAUGAAGGAUUGACCUGCUACUCAAUACAAUACAAUACAAUACUAUCCUGUUAUGAGCACUGAAAUACUGACUGAUGAAGGAUGGACCUGUUACUCAAUACAAUACAUUACAAUACUAUCCUGUUAUGAGUACUGAAAUAGUGUCUGAUGAAGGAUGGACCUGUUACUCAUUACAAUACUAUACUGUUAUGAGCACUGAAAUACUGACUGAUGAAGGAUGGACCUGUUACUCAAUACAAUACUAUACUGUUAUGAGCACUGAAAUACUGACUGAUGAAGGAUGGACCUGUUACUCAAUACAAUACAUUACAAUACUAUCCUGUUAUGAGUACUGAAAUAGUGUCUGAUGAAGGAUGGACCUGUUACUCAUUACAAUACUAUACUGUUAUGAGCACUGAAAUAUUUAUUGGCCUAUUUUUGGGUAGGCUAAUAAAAGGUGAAAGGUAGGCUAAUACCUAGGUAGGCUAAUAAAAGGUGAAAGGUAGGCUAAUACCUAGGUAGGCUAAUAAAAGGUGAAAGGUAGGCUAAUACCUAGGUAGGCUAAUAAAAGGUGAAAGGUAGGCUAAUACCUAGGUAGGCUAAUAAAAGGUGAAAGGUAGGUUAAUAUCUUGGUAGGCUAAUAAAAGGUGAAAGGUAGGCUAAUAUCUAGGUAGGCUAAUAAAAGGUGAAAGGUAGGCUAAUAUCUAGGUAGGCUAAUAAAAGGUGAAAGGUAGGCUAAUAUCUAGGUAGGCUAAUAAAAGGUGAAAGGUAGGCUAAUAUCUAGGUAGGCUAAUAAAAGGUGAAAGGUAGGCUAAUAUCUAGGUAGGCUAAUAAAAGGUGAAAGGUAGGUUAAUAUCUUGGUAGGCUAAUAAAAGGUGAAAGGUAGGCUAAUAUCUAGGUAGGCUAAUAAAAGGUGAAAGGUAGGCUAAUAUCUAGGCUAAUAUCUAGGUAGGCUAAUAAAAGGUGAAAGGUAGGCUAAUAUCUAGGUAGGCUAAUAAAAGGUGAAAGGUAGGCUAAUAUCUAGGUAGGCUAAUAAAAGGUGAAAGGUAGGCUAAUAUCUAGGUAGGCUAAUAAAAGGUGAAAGGUAGGCUAAUAUCUAGGUAGGCUAAUAAAAGGUGAAAGGUAGGUUAAUAUCUUGGUAGGCUAAUAAAAGGUGAAAGGUAGGCUAAUAUCUAGGUAGGCUAAUAAAAGGUGAAAGGUAGGUUAAUAUCUUGGUAGGCUAAUAAAAGGUGAAAGGUAGGCUAAUAUCUAGGUAGGCUAAUAAAAGGUGAAAGGUAGGCUAAUAUCUAGGUAGGCUAAUAAAAGGUGAAAGGUAGGCUAAUAUCUAGGUCGGCUAAUAAAAGGUGAAAGGUUCAGUUAGCAUCCAGGCGUUUAUGACCAGGUUGUAGAACGGUGGAUAGUUCAGGUUCUGCUCCGUUAUACCAGGGCAGCAGAUGAUUCCACAGAAUAACAUGGUCUGUAGGUGUUCUUUGGACAGUAGUGGUGGUGUUUUGUCAGGAGGAAUUCAGCUCUGCUUUAGUUUUUGUCAGAACUGAUAGCCUGGUCCCAGAUCUGUUUGUGCUAUAUAGUCGGCUCCUAUCUUCGCAUGGUCUCCUACGGUUCUACAGCAUAAACAAGUCUGGGACCAGGCUAGGAGUUGUUCCUGGGCCUGAGAAAAAGAACGCCCCUAGAGCCAAGGAUAUGGAACUGUCCUUGUUGAAGGAAUGUCACUGUCCUGGCUGUUCUUCUAAAGCAGAGCAUGUGAGCAGAGUUGAGCGGUGUGAAAUCCAGCUCCUCAUGGAGAGCUGCUUGUGCUCUUCACGUCCUUUCCAUCCGCUCCGCUAAAAACCGCUCCUCGCUCACAGGAAAAUACUGCUGCUCCAAAUUCACUCCAUUCAUUCAACUCACAAUUUAACUAUUUUUUCGGAAUGUUAGGUCCUAUUUACCUGGACCUACCAUUCGGUUUUAAAGUAUUGAAACCAAACCAUAUGAUUUGAAUGAAAAUGAUUAUAAUGAAAAACAUGAAAAGGUGAAUGUAAGAAGCGCUCAUCAUUUCAAAUCGGCCACAUGUCAGAUUAAACAACGCAAAAACAAUCUUAUUAAACAGCAUAUAACCACUCUAAAUAGGCCACAUGUCAUAUUAAACAGCAUAUAACCACUCUAAAU